UAGAGUGCAUUGAAUAAGCAAUAAGCAAAGCAAAACGCUUAAACGCUUAAACGGAGGAACUCGCUUCUCCAAAAGCUAUUCUUAUUUUUCCCUUCUUCCACUCCUCCAUCUUCUCCAACGCCUUGUCACAUUCUUUCAUUCUACCAAUAUUUACCCCAAACAAACCCAACGGUAAAUCCUCAUCCUCUUCACCUUCUUCUUCUACGCAUUUUCUCUUCCGCCAUUGCUUUCCUCAUCCGAGCCUCCUCUGCAUUUUCUCUACAUCCAUUCCUCUCAGAUCAUCUCCUUUCCCCAAUUCGAAUCCAAUUCAUUGCACCUUCCUCACUUUUUAGGGUUCUCGUCGAGGUAUACUGUUUUUUCCCUUGCAAUGGUAUGUUCUCCUGGAAGUGGGAGAAUGGAGGUUAUGGCAAGGCUUCUUGCUGCUGGAUGUUUCUCUCAAACUGUAGGAGAUGACUUUGCUCGACAGAAGUCAGCUGCUGAGUAUAUUUAUAGACAACUUUGUGAGGCAGAUGAAGCAAAUUUGCUUAAUGAAGAAGAUAUGCAUGUUUAUGGUGAGAGGCCCAUGACUGAUCCCUUGCAGCUGGUAUGCUGCAACACUUGCAAGAAACCAAUCAAGGACAGCCAAUUUGCUGCUCAUGCAGAACUUUGUAGAUCGUUAAAACUCACAGAACAAACUGGGCUGGAGCUUAAUGGCAGCACAGGGAAUCGAAAACCUCCAAAGAAAGAAAGGAAAAAGUUAUCAACUUCUGCUGCAGCUAAUGCAGCUGGGAAGCGGAGAAGGUCUGAGUCGGUGAAUAAUAUUGACACUUCUGUGUCACAGUCCCACUUGAACAGUCAAAUCAGAGUGACUCCAAAUUCCACUGAGGUUAAAGAUAUGGCAUCUUUGUUGGAGGAUAAGGGGGUUAAUCAUGGAAAUAGAGUUCUCCAGGCUUCAGUAAUGCAUCCUCCAACAAAACGACAUAAAUUGACAGCAAGCACACAUCCAGCGUUACUAGAAAGACAUGGAACAGAGUCUGGAGUGACAAAAACUGUGAGUUUAACAGAUGAAAUUCCUCGGAAGGAUUUGAAUGAGAAGACUGUUUCAGAACAUGGAGAGGGCAUCCAUAAGAGCGUUCCGCAAGACAAUAUGCAACAACGUUUGAUGAAAAAUGAUUUUCCUGCACCUCUUGCUACGAAGAUAUAUUAUUCUCAAAGGAUCAAUCGACUGCGUGCCGCUAUACGUCAUCAGUACUUUGAGAACUUGGACGAGGAAUUAUGUACUGAUGUCUCGUGUCCAAAGACAUCACAUAGAGAGAUGGUUGCAUUGCAAGAUUCGUCUCAAGGGGACCCUUCAUUUGAACAAACGGACAAUGUGCUCAACAAGGAGAAAAGGAAGAAAGUGAUGAGAAAUUAAGACCUACAAUCUACUGGCAGGCUACAGCUUUCUGUCUGAUUGCUAAAAGACUGAAUUGCGUGUCAUCCCUUCCUUUCUUCCCGCCCAGAAAAGUUCAGUUCCAUGCAAAUGACAAAAAACUGACUCAUUAUUUAUUUGAAAACAGAGCCACUUGACAAUGAUGUACUCCGCCCAAAAAUCUGAUCAUAUUCUUGCAAAAAGCUCUGAAGUUUGCUUGACUAAAGCAGGAGGCAUGCCUAGUCGUGGCUUGUCAAAUCAGUUUAUUCAUGACAAUGCAGCUACUCAUGCUGGUUUAACUAAUGGCAAUUUUCCUCCAAAGGCUUAUUCUUUUGCAAGCAACCCAGGAAAUACCCUGGGAACCAUGCAACAGCUAAACGGGAGUGUUUCUGUUCUUUAGUACCCUUGGUGGGAAGUUUUUGGCUAGGAAAAAGUACAGGUGACCAGUACAUUGAGGUUAGGAUUUAGCUCUUUUUUGAAGCCGAUAAAGCAAGUUACUCACAUUGUUUCUCCCUUCACAUGCCUUGUAAAUGAAAACUUCUGCUAUAUAAAGGAUGGGAAUAAAAAAAAAGUUCGUUCUAUGUCUGAAUUUCAUGUUUUUAUUGCUGACACCGGCAAGUAAGAGUAGUAUACCAAUUAAGAUUUCAUGGAAUAGUUAAAGAGAUAGAGUUUUGGUUUUGGUGGUCAAUUUGAUCAAAAUUGUCGAUGGAGUUGGCCUAAAACACUAGGAUUCAUUCAUACCGGUAAGUCUGUAUUUCAAGUUUUUUUGCGACAUAUUCUUGAGAUAACCUGCAUUAUUUGAUUUAAUCCAUGAUCACAGAAUUGCUGAAUA